rnacentral:rRNA from 1 species
AUUGAACGCUGGCGGCAGGCCUAACACAUGCAAGUCGAGCGAGCGGCGGACGGGUGAGUAAUGUAUGGGGAUCUGCCUGAUGGAGGGGGAUAACUACUGGAAACGGUAGCUAAUAGCGCAUACCAUCAGAUAUACCCAUAUGGGAUGGGCUAGUAGGUGAGGUAACGGCUCACCUAGGCGAUGAUCCCUAGCUGGUCUGAGAGGAUGAUCUGCCACACUGGGACUGGGACACGGCCCAGACUCUUACGGGAGGCAGCAGGGGGGAAUAUUGCACAAUGGACGCAAGCCUGAUGCAGCCAUGCCGCGUGUAUGAAGAAGGCCUUCGGGUUGUAAAGUACUUUCAGUCGGGAGGCGUUACCGACAGAAGAAGCACCGGCUAACUCCGUGCCAGCAGCCGCGGUAAUAC